UCAAACACUGGGUUAAGCAGAAAUUAGACCAGAUCAAACGAACAAAAAACCAAACGUUUUUCAAAAAAAUAAUACUUAUGUCAACAAAAAAUUGAGCAUAAGGGAAUUAUUGGAUGAAAAAAUUAAUUACCCACUAAUUAGCUUAAAAGCACCCAUAAAUAUUACAAAAUCCCUUCUUUUUAGAAUGUCUAAUGUUGUAAUGGAUGUUUAUAUGUACAAGAUUUUAGCGUUUGCUGUUAAAUACAGUGGAACUCGGUUAUAACAAACACCCAAGGGACUUCAGAAUUUGUUCGUGGUUAAAACCGAUCGUUCUUUCUAACGGAACGUUGUCCUUAUGGAGUAAAUUUUAAGUUAAUUAAUUUGAAAAAAACUUAUCAUCUGAAUAGAACAUCGUUUUCUGCUCAUUUUAUUUUUUUAUUAAACAAUUGUUCGCAAUUUUUUGAUAAAUUUUAUAAGGGGUUUUGUAUAUGACCUAUUUAUGACAUUGUAUUUUUUCAAGCCAUUUGAACUUUAGGUUUUUCCAUAUCCAUAAAAACAUUAAAAUUAUUAAUCUGUUUAAGCCGUUAAAACAUUGUUACAAAUAUUUAAGGGGAGAUAAGAGGGUCUGUGAGAUGAUGAUUUAAUUUAGGAACAAUAUCCAAUAGUAAAAAAAACUAUUUUGAUUAUUAUUUUUGGGUUUAUUUUUCCAAUUUCUAUUAAUAAAAUGCUUAAUAUCUUAUUAUUAAAACAA